rnacentral:rRNA from 1 species
UAGGGAAUCUUCGGCAAUGGACGAAAGUCUGACCGAGCAACGCCGCGUGAGUGAAGAAGGUUUUCGGAUCGUAAAACUCUGUUGUUAGAGAAGAACAAGGACGUUAGUAACUGAACGUCCCCUGACGGUAUCUAACCAGAAAGCCACGGCUAACUACGUGCCAGCAGCCGCGGUAAUACGUAGGUGGCAAGCGUUGUCCGGAUUUAUUGGGCGUAAAGCGAGCGCAGGCGGUUUCUUAAGUCUGAUGUGAAAGCCCCCGGCUCAACCGGGGAGGGUCAUUGGAAACUGGGGGACUUGAGUGCAGAAGAGGAGAGUGGAAUUCCAUGUGUAGCGGUGAAAUGCGUAGAUAUAUGGAGGAACGAAAGAGGCGAAGGCGGCUCUCUGGUCUGUAACUGACGCUGAGGAUCGAAAGCGUGGGGAGCAAACAGG